UUUUUCACGUCCGUGCCUGCUUCAGGAGUGGAUGAUGGGUGGGCCUUGUUGGGCAUGGGGGCCAAAUAUUGAGGUGGAGUUGGCUACCGUUUUGGUGCAAAUGGAUUUCGUCUACGGAUGAACACCUAGGUUUCGCACCAACGCAAGCGAUCUCCUCCUCCUCCCUUUCCCAUUCGUCCUCCUUGCUAGCCGCCGCCGCCUCCCCUCCUUCCACCUCCUCCUCCUCCCCUCUCUCGCCAGUGCCGCCUGGCCGCUGCUGCCUUCUCCUUGGUGCUCAAGGGGACGAGCACGAGAGGUCGCCACACUGCACUACCUCGUCCAUGGUGGGUGCUGAGGACCUACAGAUCUCUCUCUCCCUGCUACCUCUUUCCCCGACCCCUCUGCCUCCCCCACCAUGAGAGAUAGGGAGAGGGAUGGACAAAUAGGAGACGGGGGCAAGAGGAGAAGAGGAAGGUGACGGGGCAGGAGGAGAAGAGGAAGGAGAGGGUCUGUGCGCGCGUGGCCAUUGGCUGGCCGGGCUCAGCUCUUGCAGGCAGCCACACCCUUCUUUUCUUCCUGAUUUGCAUUCUCCCCCCUCUCUUCCAUUUCUCGCAUUUGGUUUAAUCCCUAGAAUUUAUGGUUUUUAUCUGUGCAGAUUCUUUUGUGUAUAUGCCUACAAGGUGUUUGGUGAAAAUCCAAGCAGCCCCUUGAUUUCGUUUCUUACAGAUAUUUCUAUGGGUUUCUCCAUUAGUAUGCUUCUCCUCAACUACCAUAUCAAUCUGGCAGCCAUUGGCACAUGUGACCUAGGUUGAGGAAUUUGUUCCACAUCUCCUUGUACCAAGAGCGGAUCUGCGCCCCACCUCUCCAGUGUUGGCUCACUGGCCACCACGGAUCCUAGCUGUCCUUGGGACGCCAUCAACAGGUGUGGUAUAAUGCUGUUACUUGCUGGUGAUGUUGUUUCUGUGCUGCCUAUGGAGUGACAAUAACGACAUUCAAUUAUGAUGCGUUUGACCGUAACACAAAGAUUAAGGAAAUUAAUGACCAUUGGUCGAUUGACGACUUGAAAAGAAGCAUGGAGGCAACAAAUGGGGUAUUAUUUUGAUCUCAUCUCACACAUUCAAUUACUCUUUGCCCUACUAUAUGGCUUUUUAUUAGUUAUUUACACAUACUCGAUGCAUUGCAAAAUGACUGUUUCUGGAAAUCGCCAUAUCCCGUAUCCCCUUAACAGUGUUGUCGUAUCUGUCGCUUUAUCAGUGCUUCAUUGGUCUAGGUAACAGUGUGUAGAUUUCCUUUAUUUUGCGCAUAUUCUCUUCAAUCAGAGUUGUUACUUUUUGUGCUUGGUGUUUUAUUCCAGCCAGAUGCAAGCGGCAAAAGGCGACUAGGAUUAGCCAUCGAUGCUGGUCUUCAUGUCCAAAUCCUGGUCUUUGUUGGUGUGUACAUGAGAUGGAGGAAAUCAUGUUCUUAAGAGAGCGAGAUGUGGAAGGCUAUGCUGUUGAAAAUGACAUCAGGGGACAUGUAUAUUGAACAUGUGUUGAUCCACUAAUGGCAAAUCAGCUACCAGCUGGCUAUCAAGACUUUGCUUAGGUGUUAUUAGCCGCUACAUCCUCCGCUUCAUUGAGCCUCGACCCCCCACUCUUCUGAGGUUUCGUCAGAACACGACAACUGUUCGUCACCUAAAAGGACAGGGUGACACCAAAGGAGUUAUGAUAGCAUCACUUAGGGCAAGGCCAAUGGGCUGCCUCAAACCUGCUGCCCCAUUGUCCACCUAGGUUCGGAUGCCACGCUGUAGAAAAAGUGGUAGCCCUGCAGGUCCUGGUGUGGCUUGCAGAAGAGCCGGCUGCUCCAUGCGAGAAACCAAGAGAAAGUGGGGAGAGAGGAAAAGUAGAGGGAACGCAAGCUGGAGAUGGUCCUAGGAGGUGAAAAAAGAGAUGAGAAUCAGAAAGGAAAGAAGAUGAUGGUGGGUUCCACAGAAGGGUAGCUUCACGUUUAACGUUGGAUGAUAAAAAUCUAAUCGGUAGCCUCAUUUCCUUGACCAUAGGUGGCUGAGCUGGGGCAGCACCUAGGUGCUGCUACUAUUGUACAUGCCCUUAUAGGCAUUGAGGAAUUGGCAAAGAGAUUACGCUUCAUAGGUAUGAAGUUAGAACAAUGGCUGGAAACUAUGAAAGACCGUUUCUAAUUACUUUUGUUGGAUCUGUCUUACCUACAAUGCGUGUGUGACCCCUCGAGAAGCCACUUUUUGUUUCCUCUGCAGUAUACUCCAUGUUUAGUUCCAAUGAUGCCCUAACCCUUUUGUUCCUGCUCUGAAGAAUAAGACAUGUAUAGGCUUCAUAUUUUUGUAAUAAUCUAUGUGCUAAACAUCCCUUUGUGGUCAUGUGUUUUAUAUGUAAUCAAGUAUCUAUCCGUGAUGAUAUAUAUGCCCAGCUAAUGUUUGAAAA